rnacentral:rRNA from 1 species
AUUGAACGCUGGCGGCAUGCCUUACACAUGCAAGUCGAACGGUAACGGGCCUUCGGGUGCCGACGAGUGGCGAACGGGUGAGUAAUGCAUCGGAACGUACCCAUUAGUGGGGGAUAACUCUCCGAAAGGAGGGCUAAUACCGCAUAUUCUGUGAGCAGGAAAGCAGGGGAUCGCAAGACCUUGCGCUGAUGGAGCGGCCGAUGUCAGAUUAGCUAGUUGGUGAGGUAAAGGCUCACCAAGGCGACGAUCUGUAGCGGGUGUGAGCGGAUGAUCCGCCACACUGGAACUGAGACACGGUCCAGACUCCUACGGGAGGCAGCAGUGGGGAAUUUUGGACAAUGGGGGCAACCCUGAUCCAGCCAUGCCGCGUGAGUGAAGAAGGCCUUCGGGUUGUAAAGCUCUUUCGGCCGGGAAGAAAUCGCAUGGGUUAAUACCCUGUGUGGAUGACGGUACCGGAAUAAGAAGCACCGGCUAACUACGUGCCAGCCGCCGCAGUAA